GACGAACGCUGGCGGCGUGCCUAAUACAUGCAAGUUGAGCGCUGAAGGUUGGUACUUGUACCGACUGGAUGAGCAGCGAACGGGUGAGUAACGCGUGGGGAAUCUGCCUUUGAGCGGGGGACAACAUUUGGAAACGAAUGCUAAUACCGCAUAAAAACUUUAAACACAAGUUUUAAGUUUGAAAGAUGCAAUUGCAUCACUCAAAGAUGAUCCCGCGUUGUAUUAGCUAGUUGGUGAGGUAAAGGCUCACCAAGGCGAUGAUACAUAGCCGACCUGAGAGGGUGAUCGGCCACAUUGGGACUUGGACACGGCCCAAACUCCUACGGGAGGCAGCAGUAGGGAAUCUUCGGCAAUGGACGAAAGUCUGACCGAGCAACGCCGCGUGAGUGAAGAAGGUUUUCGGAUCGUAAAACUCUGUUGGUAGAGAAGAACGUUGGUGAGAGUGGAAAGCUCAUCAAGUGACGGUAACUACCCAGAAAGGGACGGCUAACUACGUG
rnacentral:rRNA from 1 species